AUACAGAGGGUGCAAGCGUUAAUCGGAUUUACUGGGCGUAAAGCGCGCGUAGGUGGCUAAUUAAGUCAAAUGUGAAAUCCCCGAGCUUAACUUGGGAAUUGCAUUCGAUACUGGUUAGCUAGAGUAUGGGAGAGGAUGGUAGAAUUCCAGGUGUAGCGGUGAAAUGCGUAGAGAUCUGGAGGAAUACCGAUGGCGAAGGCAGCCAUCUGGCUUAAUACUGACACUGAGGUGGGAAAGCAUGGGGAGCAAACAGGACUAGAUACCCUGGUAGUCCAUGCCGUAAACGAUGUCUACUAGCCGUUGGGGCCCUUGAGGCUUUAGUGGCGCAGCUAACGCGAUAAGUAGACCGCCUGGGGAGUACGGUCGCAAGACUAAAACUCAAAUGAAUUGACGGGG
rnacentral:rRNA from 1 species